rnacentral:pre_miRNA from 1 species
GAAAUUCGUUGGCGAUUUUGAGUGAAAUCGGAGAGGAAAUUCGCCGGCGAUUUUGAGUGAAAUCGGAGAGGAAAUUC